rnacentral:rRNA from 1 species
UACGGAGGGUGCAAGCGUUGUUCGGAAUUACUGGGCGUAAAGCGCGUGUAGGCGGCUUUGCAAGUCGGGUGUGAAAUCCCUCGGCUCAACCGAGGAAGUGCGCCCGAAACUGCAGAGCUUGAGUGCCGGAGAGGAUGGCGGAAUUCCCCGAGUAGAGGUGAAAUUCGUAGAUAUGGGGAGGAACACCGGUGGCGAAGGCGGCCAUCUGGACGGUAACUGACGCUGAGACGCGAAAGCGUGGGUAGCAAACAGG